rnacentral:rRNA from 1 species
CGCCUGUUUAACAAAAACAUUUCUUUUUAUAAAUAAAGAAGGUAAGCCCUGUUCAAUGAAUAUUAAAUAACCGCAGUAUUUAAUUGUGCGAAGGUAGCAUAAUAAUUUUUUCUUUAAUUGAGAGGUAGAAUGAAGGGGUUAAUAAAGUGAUAGCUGUGUUAGCGUGAUACAAUAAUUUUAUAAGGAGGUGAGAAUGCCUUCUAGUAUUAAAGGGACGACAAGACCCUAGAAGCUUUGAGGUUAUCUAUAUGGAGAACUAUUUAACUGGGGCGGUUGUUAUUGAAAACAAUAAAUUAUGAACAUUAUGGGUGGUUUAUAUGAUCUUGAGUUAAACAUGGAGGUAAGCUACUCUAGGGAUAACAGCGUAAUAGAAUCUGAGAGUUCUAAUUGAAGAUUUAGUUGCGACCUCGAUGUUGAAUUAAGUAGGCUGUCUGGAGCAGAAAAUAGGAAUAGUGAGUUUGUUCAACUCUUAAAGAUUUACAUGAUCUGAGUUCAGACCGG